rnacentral:sRNA from 1 species
AUCAAUUAAGAGGCAACUCUUAACUGGCCAGGUAAGCAAAAACUUUAAGUACAAAAUUACCGGGCAGAAAGUCCCACAAAGUAGCGCUCACAUAGUGGGGCGGUCGACUUGGCGGUAGCGCUUAGCAACGACGAGUCAA